rnacentral:rRNA from 1 species
AAGCCCUUCGGGGUGUAAACCACUGUCAGGGGUAAGAAAGUUCUGAUCUACCCCAGAGGAAGGCACGGCUAACUCUGUGCCAGCAGCCGCGGUAAGACAGAGGUGCCGAGCGUUAGGCGGAAUCACUGGGCUUAAAGCGUGUGUAGGCGGACUUGUAAGUACCUUGUGAAAUCCCACAGCUUAACUGUGGAACUGCUUGGUAUACUGCUUGUCUUGGGCCACUUAGGGGUUACCGGAACAAACGGUGGAGCGGUGAAAUGCGUAGAUAUCGUUUGGAACGCCAAUGGUGAAAACAGGUAACUGGGAGUGUGCCGACGCUGAGACACGAAAGCCAGGGGAGCGAACGGGAUUAGAUACCCCGGUAGUCCUGGCUGUAAACGAUGUCGACUAGAUUGUGGCGGCUCUGACGCCGUCACGGUCGAAGCAAAAGUGCUAAGUCGACCGCCUGGGAAGUACGGUCGCAAGGCUAAAACUCAAAGGAAUUGACGGGGGCUCACACAAGCGGUGGAGCAUGUGGUUCAAUUCGAAGCAACGCGCAGAACCUUACCUGGGCUUGACAUGCCAGGAUUAUCCCUGUGAAAGCAGGGUAGGCCCUUCGGGGUACAACUGGUACAGGUGCUGCAUGGCUGUCGUCAGCUCGUGUCGUGAGAUGUCGGGUUAAGUCCCUUAACGAGCGAAACCUUUGCCCUUAGUUACUAACGGG